GGUUAAGCGACUAAGCGUACACGGUGGAUGCCCUGGCAGUCAGAGGCGAUGAAGGACGUGCUAAUCUGCGAUAAGCGCCGGUAAGGUGAUAUGAACCGUUAUAACCGGCGAUUUCCGAAUGGGGAAACCCAGUGUGACUCGUCACACUAUCAUUAACUGAAUCCAUAGGUUAAUGAGGCGAACCGGGGGAACUGAAACAUCUAAGUACCCCGAGGAAAAGAAAUCAACCGAGAUUCCCCCAGUAGCGGCGAGCGAACGGGGAGGAGCCCAGAGCCUGAAUCAGCAUGUGUGUUAGUGGAAGCGUCUGGAAAGGCGCGCGAUACAGGGUGACAGCCCCGUACACAAAAGCGCAUGUGCUGUGAGCUCGAUGAGUAGGGCGGGACACGUGGUAUCCUGUCUGAAUAUGGGGGGACCAUCCUCCAAGGCUAAAUACUCCUGACUGACCGAUAGUGAACCAGUACCGUGAGGGAAAGGCGAAAAGAACCCCGGCGAGGGGAGUGAAAAAGAACCUGAAACCGUGUACGUACAAGCAGUGGGAGCACCCUUUGGGGUGUGACUGCGUACCUUUUGUAUAAUGGGUCAGCGACUUAUAUUCUGUAGCAAGGUUAACCGAAUAGGGGAGCCGGAGGGAAACCGAGUCUUAAU
rnacentral:rRNA from 1 species